GUACACUCCUACGGGAGGCAGCAGUGGGGAAUAUUGCACAAUGGGCGCAAGCCUGAUGCAGCCAUGCCGCGUGUAUGAAGAAGGCCUUCGGGUUGUAAAGUACUUUCAGCGGGGAGGAAGGCAAUACGGUUAAUAACCGUGUUGAUUGACGUUACCCGCAGAAGAAGCACCGGCUAACUCCGUGCCAGCAGCCGCGGUAAUACGGAGGGUGCAAGCGUUAAUCGGAAUUACUGGGCGUAAAGCGCACGCAGGCGGUCUGUCAAGUCGGAUGUGAAAUCCCCGGCCUCAACCUGGGAACUGCAUUCGAAACUGGCAGGCUUGAGUCUUGUAGAGGGGGGUAGAAUUCCAGGUGUAGCGGUGAAAUGCGUAGAGAUCUGGAGGAAUACCGGUGGCGAAGGCGGCCCCCUGGACAAAGACUGACGCUCAGGUGCGAAAGCGUGGGGAGCAAACAGGAUUAGAAACCCCUGUAGUCCCAU
rnacentral:rRNA from 1 species